rnacentral:rRNA from 1 species
CCAAAGCCCAACCUGGGAAAGGGUUACCCCCAGGGGCUCCCGGAAAAAGGGGGUUUUUCCUGGGCCUAAAAGCCUUGGGAAUAAGAGGGGGGCAAGACUGGUGUCAGCCGCCGCGGUAACACCAGCCCCUCGAGUGGUGGGGAUGAUUAUUUGGCCUAAAGCGUCCGUAGCGGCGGGGUAAGUUUUCCGUUAAAUCCAGCGUCUCAAGCGUUGGACUGCGGGAAAUACUGUCUGGCUAGAGAGUGGUUUUGAUCCCCGGAGGACCACCAGUGGCGAAGGCUGUACACUAGAACACGUCUGACGGUCAGGGACGAAAGCUGGGGUAGCGAACCGGAUUAGAUACCCGGGUAGUCCCAGCCGUAAACGAUGCACGCUAGGUGUUGGGGCGGCCACRAGCCGCCCCAGUGCCCGCAGGAAAGCCGUUAAGCGUGCCGCCCGGGGGAGUACGGGCCGCAAGGCUAAAACUUAAAGGAAUUUGGGGGGGGGAGCACCCCCGGGCGUGAAGCCUGCGUUUUAAAUU